CCUACGUGAGGCAGCAGUGAGGAAUAUUGGUCAAUGGGCGCUAGCCUGAACCAGCCAAGUAGCGUGAAGGAUGACUGCCCUACGGGUUGUAAACUUCUUUUGUAUGGGAAUAGAGUGUACCACGAAUGCCUUUUUGGAUUUACUUUCUCACUAAGCAUCGGCUAACUCCGUUCCAGCAGCCGAGGUAAUACGGAGGGUCCGAGCGUUAUCCGGAUUUCUUGGGUGUAAGGGGAACGUAGAUGGGGCGUUAAGUCAGUUGUGAAAGUAUGCGGCUCAACCGUAAAAUUGCAAUUGAUACUGGCAGCCUUGAGUACAGUAGAGGUAGGCGGAAUUCGUGGUGUAGCGGUGAAAUGCUUAGAUAUCACGAAGAACUCCGAUUGCGAAGGCAGCCUACUGAACUGCGACUGACGCUGAUGCGCGAAAGUGUGGGUAUCAAACAGGAUUAGAUACCCGAGUAGUC
rnacentral:rRNA from 1 species